rnacentral:rRNA from 1 species
AUUGAACGCUGGUGGAAUGCUUUACACAUGCAAGUCGAACGGCAGCACGGACUUCGGUCUGGUGGCGAGUGGCGAACGGGUGAGUAAUACAUCGGAACGUGCCCAGUCGUGGGGGAUAACGUAGCGAAAGCUACGCUAAUACCGCAUACGAUCUAAGGAUGAAAGCGGGGGAUCGCAAGACCUCGCGCGAUUGGAGCGGCCGAUGGCAGAUUAGGUAGUUGGUAGGGUAAAGGCCUACCAAGCCGACGAUCUGUAGCUGGUCUGAGAGGACGACCAGCCACACUGGGACUGAGACACGGCCCAGACUCCUACGGGAGGCAGCAGUGGGGAAUUUUGGACAAUGGACGCAAGUCUGAUCCAGCCAUUCCGCGUGCAGGAUGAAGGCCCUCGGGUUGUAAACUGCUUUUGUACAGAACGAAAAGGCUCUGGUUAAUACCUGGAGCUCAUGACGGUACUGUAAGAAUAAGCACCGGCUAACUACGUGCCAGCCGCCGCAGUAA